rnacentral:rRNA from 1 species
UACGUAGGUGGCGAGCGUUGUCCGGAAUUACUGGGCGUAAAGGGCUCGUAGGCGGCCAACUCAGUCGGACGUGGAAUCCCUCGGCUUAACCGGGGAAUGGCGUCCGAUACUGGAUGGCUUGAGUUUGGGAGAGGGAUGCGGAAUUCCAGGUGUAGCGGUGAAAUGCGUAGAUAUCUGGAGGAACACCGGUGGCGAAGGCGGCAUCCUGGACCAACACUGACGCUGAGGAGCGAAAGCCAGGGGAGCAAACGGG